UACGGGGGGGGCAAGCGUUGUUCGGAAUUACUGGGCGUAAAGGGCGCGUAGGCGGCUUGCUAAGUCGGAUGUGAAAUCCCUCGGCUCAACCGAGGAACUGCAUUCGAUACUGGCGGGCUUGAAUCCGGGAGAGGGGUGUGGAAUUCCAGGUGUAGCGGUGAAAUGCGUAGAGAUCGGGCGGAACACCAGCGGCGAAGGCGGCAUCCUGGCCCUUACCUGACGCUGAGGCGCGAGAGCGUGGGGAGCAAACCGG
rnacentral:rRNA from 1 species